GCUAGGCCAUUAGAGAUUUGAUUCAUUCGUAAUCUUUGCCGUUGUCACGCUCGUCCAACACGUCCAGGUCGGAAAAGCCAUCUCUCUCUCUCUCUCUCUCUCGAUCGCUCGUUCGCUCACUCGGAAUACAAUUGAAUUCGCUGAGAUGCCUCUCAGGAGGCUCCUAGAGGUAGAACCACCGAGCCCGCUGAGGUACAUCAUCGGAGCCAUAAUCAUGAUGAUCGGAGUGGUUCUGCCCGUCGGAUACAUGAUGUUCCGUAACAAACGUGUCCCAUCGUCUUCUUCCUACUCCAAACAGACGGGUAAAGGCUGGAUGUAGAGAAAUCGGGAUGGAUUAUAACUUCUCAAGUCGUCAGUCGCAUGUAAACCGGGGUUGGUCAGAGAUGAAGGGAAUAAAAAGACAAAGCGCUGAUCACUAAUGCCGUUAUUCUGAAACUGCAAUUUUGAUACGUGUAUUGUUAGGAAUUUUAAUGUGGAAAAGUUUUAGAAUGAAAAAUGUCUCCUGCUGUUUCGUUUGAAUAGUUUCAUUGACAUCUAUCAGUGGAAAAUGUGUCUGCCAUUUUCUUUCUGACACUAGUUUACAUAUCCCCAUCUCUGUUACUUGAUCUUAUUUGUGACAAGGGGGAUUUGAAUAAUACAGGAGGUCACUGGCUUCGACCUCUUUUAGUAUUGACAUUUUCUAACCUUCCAAUUUCUGGUUAGGGUUUGCAUCAAGGUUUCCUUCUCCACUAGGCCUCUUAAUGUGUUAACAGGAACUUGUUUCAAAAGAUGUUAACUAAUAGGUUUGGUGGAGAUGGGUUAUUAAUUUCACAUAGUUGCAUUGUUUCACAGUAGAGUAUUCUAUGUUUGAUCGGAUAGGGCGAAGAAUUCAAAUAUAUUGUCUUGAAAUUUGGUAGGAAGAUGUCUACAGAAGGCGCAAAGGCAACACAGCAACAGUUGAGUAAAAAAUCUUGGUUAUGUUAGGGGUUUUCUUGAGAUAGAUGUAGAAAUUAUUUGUCAAUUGGAGGAGGUCAUCUACUGACCUUUUAUUGCUGAGGGUGGAAUCGUGCUGUAUGACAUGGAGAUCUUUGAGACCCAAAAAGAUUGUUAGCUGAUUCAUCUGGACAUAUAUCCUGACACAACUCUCUCAAUAAAAUUGUUCUUUUUCUUAAGCCUGUAAUGUAACUGUAAGAUCUUGGAUUCUCAGGCCAAGAAUUUAAUAGACUUGUAACAAUUGAUAAACUCAAUAAAUGGAUUUUCAUAGUCA